UAAUACAGAGGGUGCGAGCGUUGUCCGGAAUUACUGGGCGUAAAGGGCGCGUAGGCGGUUCAAUAAGUAGGAGGUGAAAUCUCACGGCUCAACCGGGAGGCUGCCUUCUAGACUGUUGGACUUGAGCACGGUAGAGGCAGAUGGAAUUCCCGGUGUAGCGGUGGAAUGCGUAGAGAUCGGGAAGAACACCAGUGGCGAAGGCGGUCUGCUGGGCCGUUGCUGACGCUGAGGCGCGACAGCGUGGGGAGCAAACAGGAUUAGAUACCCUGGUAGUCCACGCCGUAAACGAUGGGCACUAGGCGUCGGGGGGAGCGACCCUCCCGGUGCCGUAGCUAACGCUCUAAGUGCCCCGCCUGGGGAGUACGGCCGCAAGGCUG
rnacentral:rRNA from 1 species